rnacentral:rRNA from 1 species
GACGAACCGUGCAAACGUUGUUCGGAAUCACUGGGCUUAAAGGGCGCGUAGGCGGCGAGUCAAGUCCGGGGUGAAAGCUUUCGGCUCAACCGGAAAAGGGCCUCGGAGACGGACUCGCUCGAGGGAGGUAGGGGCAAGUGGAACUUCCGGUGGAGCGGUGAAAUGCGUUGAUAUCGGAAGGAACGCCGGUGGCGAAAGCGACUUGCUGGACCUCGACUGACGCUGAGGCGCGAAAGCCAGGGGAGCAAAC